rnacentral:misc_RNA from 1 species
UAAAGGUACAUUGAGAGGAAAACACGGAAAAAAGUCAACGAGGUUCAGAAGUCUAUCUUCAACAGCUGUAAUCUGUUCUGCGCCCUCCAGUGACACCUACGUUCUCUUUUCUUCUCUCUUCCUCCUGCCGUAUCGUCUCACUGUGUGUUGUUUUACGGUCCUUUUUUUUUCUACACCUAGUCCUUCUUUUCCGGGCUUCUGUGUUGGGCGCUUUGCCGGCCCGACGAGCGCGCUGGUGUCCCAAGGGUGAAGUGCUCAAAGAAAGGAUUGCCAUAAUCGAGCCGGGGCACGGAGGUCGGAUCUCAUACACAAUUCCAAAAGUAUUACUUCAAAUGUAACUCUCUUUUCUUUUUUUUUCUCUGCUUGAACUGCUCUUUGCCUCGGCACUUGUGCCCGUCGCGCUCUCUUCGCUCGGCAGCAGACACGCAGAGGUAGGCACGCGCACGCACACAAAGAACUACUAAAGAAGUGUGAUAAGGCCCACAUACACGGAAACGGACGUGCCCAUGUUUUCUAGUCCCCCGCCAGUCGCCCCACUUGGCGCGCCGAUGCCACCACUGCUGAUGCACCACUGCUACCACAACGUCCUGUGCAAAUGCGGCGCCGUGGUGUGUACGCAGUGCUCGCGUGUGUGCAUGGCGUGUGACUGCCACGUGUGCCCCCACUGCCUUCCUUUCAAUAUGCGCCACUGCAAAAGUUGCUGCAUCGCAUGCUUUCGCAACUGCAGGCACAACUUGUGACACGCCUGCAAAUAUCGCCGUCCAUCAUUCAUCCUUGCCUUCGCUGUGUAUGAUCUCGUGGAUUGCUUUCUUGACACUGUGGGCAAGAAUGUGUUACGAUAUCAGGCGGCGCCCCGCCGCGGGGCGUGGCAGCGUGCCCAUUCACAGGAGUGCCUUCCUUAUACAAC